GUUGGAUUACCUGAUGUCCAUUCAGGUUAUGGUUUUGCCAUUGGUAAUAUGGCAGCUUUUGACAUGUCACUUCCUGAGGCAGUGGUGUCUCCAGGUGGUGUUGGUUUUGAUAUCAACUGUGGUGUUAGGCUGCUAA